UACGAAGGGGGCUAGCGUUGCUCGGAUUUACUGGGCGUAAAGGGCGCGUAGGCGGCCAGUGCAAGUCAGUUGUGAAAUCUCCGAGCUUAACUCGGAAAGGUCAACUGAUACUGCUCGGCUAGAGUGCGGAAGGGGCAACUGGAAUUCUUGGUGUAGCGGUGAAAUGCGUAGAUAUCAAGAGGAACACCUGCGGCGAAGGCGGGUUGCUGGGCCGACACUGACGCUGAUGCGCGAAAGCUAGGGGAGCGAACGGG
rnacentral:rRNA from 1 species